GGUCAAGCGAACAAGUGCAUGUGGUGGAUGCCUUGGCGAUCACAGGCGAUGAAGGACGCGGUAGCCUGCGAAAAGCUACGGGGAGCUGGCAAACAAGCUUUGAUCCGUAGAUGUCCGAAUGGGGAAACCCACUCCUUUUGGAGUAUCCAUGGCUGAAUACAUAGGCCAUGUGAAGCGAACGCGGUGAACUGAAACAUCUAAGUAACCGCAGGAAAAGAAAUCAACCGAGAUUCCCAAAGUAGUGGCGAGCGAAAUGGGAUGAGCCUUGCACUCUUUAUUUGUAUUGUUAGCCGAACGCUCUGGAAAGUGCGGCCAUAGCAGGUGAUAGCCCUGUAGGCGAAAACAGUAUGAAAGAACUAGGUGUGCGACAAGUAGGGCGGGACACGUGAAAUCCUGUCUGAAGAUGGGGGGACCAUCCUCCAAGGCUAAAUACUCGUGAUCGACCGAUAGUGAACCAGUACCGUGAGGGAAAGGCGAAAAGAACCCCGGGAGGGGAGUGAAAUAGAUCCUGAAACCGCAUGCAUACAAACAGUCGGAGCCUCGCAAGGGGUGACGGCGUACCUUUUGUAUAAUGGGUCAGCGACUUACGUUCAGUAGCAAGCUUAACCGUAUAGGGCAGGCGUAGCGAAAGCGAGUCCGAAUAGGGCGUUCAGUUGCUGGGCGUAGACCCGAAACCAGGUGAUCUAUCCAUGGCCAGGAUGAAGGUGCGGUAACACGUACUGGAGGUCCGAACCCACUAACGUUGAAAAGUUAGGGGAUGAGCUGUGGAUAGGGGUGAAAGGCUAAACAAACCUGGAAAUAGCUGGUUCUCUCCGAAAACUAUUUAGGUAGUGCCUCGUGUCUCACCUUCGGGGGUAGAGCACUGUCAUGGUUGGGGGGUCUAUUGCAGAUUACCCCGCCAUAGCAAACUCCGAAUACCGAAGAGUGCAAUCACGGGAGACAGACAUCGGGUGCUAACGUCCGGUGUCAAGAGGGAAACAACCCAGACCGCCAGCUAAGGUCCCCAAAUAUAGCUAAGUGGGAAACGAAGUGGGAAGGCUAAAACAGUCAGGAGGUUGGCUUAGAAGCAGCCACCCUUUAAAGAAAGCGUAAUAGCUCACUGAUCGAGUCGUCCUGCGCGGAAGAUGUAACGGGGCUAAGCUAUAUACCGAAGCUGCGGAUGCGUGCUUAGCACGCAUGGUAGGAGAGCGUUCCGUAAGCCUGCGAAGGUGCCUUGUAAAGGGUGCUGGAGGUAUCGGAAGUGCGAAUGCUGACAUGAGUAGCGAUAAAGGGGGUGAAAGGCCCCCUCGCCGUAAGCCCAAGGUUUCCUACGCAACGUUCAUCGGCGUAGGGUGAGUCGGCCCCUAAGGCGAGGCAGAAAUGCGUAGCUGAUGGGAAGCAGGUCAAUAUUCCUGCACCAUUGUUAGAUGCGAUGGGGGGACGGAUCGCGGAAGGUUGUCCGGGUGUUGGAAGUCCCGGUCGCUGCAUUGGAGAAGGCGCUUAGGCAAAUCCGGGCGCAGGAUUCAAGGGUGUGGCGCGAGCUCCUUAGGGAGCGAAGCAAUUGGAAGUGGUUCCAAGAAAAGCCUCUAAGCUUCAGUCUAACGAUGACCGUACCGCAAACCGACACAGGUGGGCGAGAUGAGUAUUCUAAGGCGCUUGAGAGAACUCGGGAGAAGGAACUCGGCAAAUUGGUACCGUAACUUCGGGAUAAGGUACGCCCUUGUAGCUUGACUGGCCUGCGCCAGGAGGGUGAAGGGGUUGCAAUAAACUGGUGGCUGCGACUGUUUAAUAAAAACACAGCACUCUGCAAACACGAAAGUGGACGUAUAGGGUGUGACGCCUGCCCGGUGCCGGAAGAUUAAAUGAUGGGGUGCAAGCUCUUGAUUGAAGUCCCGGUAAACGGCGGCCGUAACUAUAACGGUCCUAAGGUAGCGAAAUUCCUUGUCGGGUAAGUUCCGACCUGCACGAAUGGCGUAACGAUGGCCACACUGUCUCCUCCCGAGACUCAGCGAAGUUGAAGUGUUUGUGAUGAUGCAAUCUACCCGCGGCUAGACGGAAAGACCCCAUGAACCUUUACUGUAGCUUUGCAUUGGACUUUGAACCGAUCUGUGUAGGAUAGGUGGGAGGCUAUGAAACCGGAACGCUAGUUUCGGUGGAGCCGUCCUUGAAAUACCACCCUGGUUUGUUUGAGGUUCUAACCUUGGCCCGUGAUCCGGGUCGGGGACAGUGCAUGGUAGGCAGUUUGACUGGGGCGGUCUCCUCCCAAAGCGUAACGGAGGAGUACGAAGGUACGCUAGGUACGGUCGGAAAUCGUGCUGAUAGUGCAAUGGCAUAAGCGUGCUUAACUGCGAGACCGACAAGUCGAGCAGGUGCGAAAGCAGGUCAUAGUGAUCCGGUGGUUCUGUAUGGAAGGGCCAUCGCUCAACGGAUAAAAGGUACUCUGGGGAUAACAGGCUGAUACCGCCCAAGAGUUCAUAUCGACGGCGGUGUUUGGCACCUCGAUGUCGGCUCAUCUCAUCCUGGGGCUGUAGCCGGUCCCAAGGGUAUGGCUGUUCGCCAUUUAAAGAGGUACGUGAGCUGGGUUUAAAACGUCGUGAGACAGUUUGGUCCCUAUCUGCCGUGGGCGUUGGAUAUUUGAAGGGGGCUGCUCCUAGUACGAGAGGACCGGAGUGGACGAACCUCUGGUGUACCGGUUGUCACGCCAGUGGCAUCGCCGGGUAGCUAUGUUCGGAAGAGAUAACCGCUGAAAGCAUCUAAGCGGGAAACUCGCCUUAAGAUGAGAUAUCCCUGGGGACUAGAUCCCCUUGAAGGGUCGUUCGAGACCAGGACGUUGAUAGGUCAGGUGUGUAAGCGCAGUAAUGCGUUCAGCUAACUGAUACUAAUUGCCCGUAAGGCUUGAUCCU
rnacentral:rRNA from 1 species